rnacentral:tRNA from 3 species
AAGUCCCGGCGCACCUUAAACGCGCAUCAAUGAGCUUGCAACUCAACAUGAAUUUCACUACAGGACU